rnacentral:rRNA from 1 species
UGGGGAAUAUUGCACAAUGGGCGAAAGCCUGAUGCAGCAACGCCGCGUGCGGGAUGACGGCCUUCGGGUUGUAAACCGCUUUCAGCAGGGACGAAGGUUUUCUGACGGUACCUGCAGAAGAAGCACCGGCUAACUACGUGCCAGCAGCCGCGGUGAUACGUAGGGUGCGAGCGUUGUCCGGAAUUAUUGGGCGUAAAGAGCUUGUAGGCGGUCCGUUGCGUCGGAAGUGAAAACUCAGGGCUUAACCCUGAGCCUGCUUUCGAUACGGGCGGACUUGAGGGAUGUAGGGGAGAACGGAAUUCCUGGUGGAGCGGUGGAAUGCGCAGAUAUCAGGAGGAACACCAGCGGCGAAGGCGGUUCUCUGGACAUUUCCUGACGCUGAGAAGCGAAAGCGUGGGGAGCAAACAGGCUUAGAUACCCUGGUAGUCCACGCCGUAAACGGUGGGCACUAGGUGUGGGACCCAUUCCACGGGUUCCGUGCCGUAGCUAACGCAUUAAGUGCCCCGCCUGGGGAGUACGGCCGCAAGGCUAAAACUCAAAUGAAUUGACGG